rnacentral:rRNA from 1 species
UACGAAGGGGGCGAGCGUUGUUCGGAAUUACUGGGCGUAAAGGGCGCGUAGGCGGUCCUUCAAGUCAGGCGUGAAAGCCCCGGGCUCAACCUGGGAACCGCGCUUGAGACUGGCGGACUCGAGUUCGGGAGAGGAUGGUGGAAUUCCCAGUGUAGAGGUGAAAUUCGUAGAUAUUGGGAAGAACACCGAUAGCGAAGGCAGCUUACUACAUGUUAAUUGACGCUGAGGCACGAAAGCGUGGGGAGCAAACAGG